CGCGGGGUGGUGGAGGAGUUACCACGCGAGGCUCAUAAUCUCGAAACCCAGGUGCAAAUCCUGGCCCCGCAACCA
rnacentral:tRNA from 1 species